CUUUUGUGGGGUGCUCGAGUGGCGAACGGGUGAGUAACACGUGAGUAACCUGCCCUUGACUUUGGGAUAACUUCAGGAAACUGGGGCUAAUACCGGAUAGGAGCUCCUGCUGCAUGGUGGGGUUGGAAAGUUUCGGCGGUUGGGGAUGGACUCGCGGCUUAUCAGCUUGUUGGUGGGGUAGUGGCUUACCAAGGCUUUGACGGGUAGCCGGCCUGAGAGGGUGACCGGCCACAUUGGGACUGAGAUACGGCCCAG
rnacentral:rRNA from 1 species